UACGUAGGGGGCAAGCGUUGUCCGGAAUUAUUGGGCGUAAAGAGCGUGUAGGCGGCCAGGUAGGUCCGGUGUGAAAACUCGAGGCUUAACCUCGAGAUGUCAUCGGAAACCAUCUGGCUAGAGUCCGGAAGAGGAGAGUGGAAUUCCUGGUGUAGCGGUGAAAUGCGCAGAUAUCAGGAAGAACACCAAUGGCGAAGGCAGCGCUCUGGGACGGUACUGACGCUGAGACGCGAAAGCGUGGGGAGCGAACAGG
rnacentral:rRNA from 1 species